UCUAAAUAUGGCAUGUUUCCACCAAUUGUAACCUUCUGCGUCUCUUUCAACAAGGGACUUUUAAUUUGAAGGCGAAUCGCAAAUUCCACUAUUGUGGCUAACUUCACAACACAUACCCCGGUCGGAUCAGGCCCCACUGGCCAGACGAAGCUAGGUGGCUGCUUAUAACUUUAGCUUUGGGAAACAGGGUUAAGUAGCUGGAUAGCUCGUUUUUUUUCUUCGUGAACUGAAGUUCAAUUCCAAUAGGCGAACAACAAGUGGCUACCUAGUGAAUACUUACUCACAAGGAUUCCUAAAUAAUUGCUAAGAAUAUUGAAAAUGACUGCAGUUUCUACUGGUAAUUGUUUUCAGUCUGGUUGCAAUUUGAUGCUAGCAACCCCAGAAGUUGCUAAUAACGUCAAAGAUAUUAGCCUUUUAUUUUUAUUUUAUCAGGUUUGUUUGGUGGCGGCUGGCACGUGCAAAUGCAGCACACACAACAAUCUAUAAUAUAAUUGUGUUAUUUGACGUGUCGAAUAUUGUUGCAUCUUUUUGACAAGCAAAGACCUAAACGGCGUUCCAUAGUAUGUUGUUGUUGGGGUUUGUCGAAAUAUAACGUCGUGCUUGGAUCAGCUGCAUUUUACUUCAGACAAUGAUGCUUGAUGGCAGAUAUUUUUCCUAGGGUGGACUACUGAGUCAGCUUGUUGUCAGGCCUGUCUAUCCCUCUCAAGAUGGACAAUAUGCUGGAUAAAGAUGUGGAUGACUCCAUAGAAUGUAAUACAACUUUAUAAUCCAUUGGUGAGAAUGGAAAAUGUCUUCUCCCUUUCCCAACACAAACAAAUACACACAAGUUGAGUCAACAGCAGUGCAGAGCCCCAGGAUGGAGGGGUGCUGCACUGCAGGGUGUUGGGAAAACCAGAAGGCACAUUUCUGUUCUAAUGUACAAUAAAGUAUCUGCUCCCUCCA